AGAGUUUGAUCCUGGCUCAGGAUGAACGCUAGCGGCAGGCUUAACACAUGCAAGUCGAGGGGUAACAGAGGUAGCUUGCUACUUGCUGACGACCGGCGCACGGGUGCGUAACGCGUAUAGAAUCUACCUUGUACUAGGGGAUAGCCUUUGGAAACGAAGAUUAAUACCCUAUAGUAAGUAUUUAUGGCAUCAUUUAUACUUUAAAGGUUACGGUACAAGAUGACUAUGCGUCCUAUUAGUUUGUUGGUGAGGUAACGGCUCACCAAGACUUCGAUAGGUAGGGGCCCUGAGAGGGGGAUCCCCCACACUGGUACUGAGACACGGACCAGACUCCUACGGGAGGCAGCAGUGAGGAAUAUUGGACAAUGGAGGCAACUCUGAUCCAGCCAUGCCGCGUGCAGGAUGACGGCCCUAUGGGUUGUAAACUGCUUUUAUGUAGGAAGAAACACUCUCACGUGUGAGAGCUUGACGGUACUACAAGAAUAGGGACCGGCUAACUCCGUGCCAGCAGCCGCGGUAAUAAGGGCGAAUUC
rnacentral:rRNA from 1 species